rnacentral:rRNA from 1 species
UACGAAGGGGGGCUAGCGUUGUUCGGAAUUACUGGGCGUAAAGCGCACGUAGGCGGAUAUUUAAGUCAGGGGUGAAAUCCCGGGGCUCAACCCCGGAACUGCCUUUGAUACUGGGUAUCUAGAGUCCAGAAGAGGUGAGUGGAAUUCCGAGUGUAGAGGUGAAAUUCGUAGAUAUUCGGAGGAACACCAGUGGCGAAGGCGGCUCACUGGUCUGGUACUGACGCUGAGGUGCGAAAGCGUGGGGAGCAAACAGG